CCUACGGGGGGCAGCAGUGAGGAAUAUUGGUCAAUGGUCGGGAGCCUGAACCAGCCAAGCCGCGUGAGGGAAGAAGGUACAGUGUAUCGUAAACCUCUUUUGUCAGGGAACAAAGGCGGCGACGCGUCCCCGGAUGAGUGUACCUGAAGAAAAAGCAUCGGCUAACUCCGUGCCAGCAGCCGCGGUAAUACGGAGGAUGCGAGCGUUAUCCGGAUUUAUUGGGUUUAAAGGGUGCGCAGGCGGUAUGUAAAGUCAGCGGUCAAAGCCCGGGGCCAAACCCCUUCCCGCCGUUGAAACUGGCAGUCUCGAGUGGGAGAGAAGUAUGCGGAAUGCGCGGUGUAGCGGUGAAAUGCAUAGAUAUCGCGCAGAACUCCGAUUGCGAAGGCAGCAUGCCGGCUCCACACUGACGCUGAUGCACGAAAGCGUGGGUAUCGAACAGGAUUAGAUACCCUUGUAGUC
rnacentral:rRNA from 1 species